GUCACCGUAGCUUAAGUAAAGCGUUUUUUGGUUUUUAAUCAAAUUAAGAUGGUGGUUCAAAUCUGCCUGGUGUCA
rnacentral:tRNA from 1 species